rnacentral:piRNA from 1 species
CAUUGGAGGCUCACUGUGUCCAUUGGA